UCAAAAAUGAUAAUAAUCUAAUCCUUAUUUGUUUAUGUUAUUAAUUUAAAUUAAUUUAAUUGUAAAUUAUUAACUUAAUACAUGCUCAUUGUAAAGUGCCCACCAGAGUGGAGACACAAAGACACGAAUUAAUUUGGGUGGGACACAUACACAUAACAGAAAUUGGGUUAUAUAUAUUAAGAAGUAAGUGAACAACCAGAGAGAAUGUAUUUUGGUACAUUUCAUUAGAACUUAUAAAUACUUAUACCUUAAUAUAAUAGUAAUAAUGAAUUAUUAGUAAGGGCUUACUUAUAUGUGCCUAGUUCUGUGUUAAAAACUUUUAAACUAUUAUCAACACAAGAAUGUUAUGACAUUGAUAUUUUAAUGAUCAUAUAACAUAUGUUAGUAUACCAAGUUCUUUGUCUACUGGUUUUCUUUGUGUGGCAUUAAAAUAUGUAUAAUAUUUUACUUGGCCAUUCCCCUGGAAUUUUUAGGUUAUUUCUCUAUGUUUAGUAUUAGAACAUCCUGAUGUAUCAUUCCUAUAUAUAUCUCUGAUGAUUUCUUUAGAAUAGAUUACCUUGACAGUGUUGCAUUGUUUAGAGUUAUAUUCUUAAUAAAUAUUUCCUUCCUCUUAAAGGACAAAAGAUUGUUUAAAAGAAAUUGCAGGGGCUGACAGGGCAGAGAAAGUGACUCAUUCAGUACUUCGGAAAGGAGUUCCUCCUUUAACAUACAUUGGAGUGUAUUUAAUUCUCAUAAAAAUUCUAUAAGAUAGGUGUUACUAUGAUGGCUAUAUUUCAAGUGUGGAUCACGAGGUCAGAGGUUCAAGAUCAGCUUGGCCAAUAGGGUGAUACCCCAUCUCUACUAAAAAAUACAAAAAUUAGCUGAGCGUGGUGGCACGUGCCUGUAGUCCCUGCUACUCAGGAGGCUGAGGCAGGAGAAGCGCUUGAACCAGGGAGGUGCAGGUUGCAAUGAGCUGAGAUUGCACCACUGCACUCUAGCCUGGGCAACAGAGUAAGACUCCAUCUCAAAAAAAAAGAAGUGACACCACUGGUCAAAAUACAAAGCUAGUAAGUAGCAGGGGCAUAAUUCUUACCCAGGUAGUCUGAACAUACUUUUUUUCAGUACUAGCCCUACGUCUUUUCUAGUUUACAGGCAAUAUCUAGUUCUAGGUUCAUUCUGUUUGUUCAGAUGUUCACCAUGUGAAAAGGCUAGUACAUUUGUAAACAUCUCUUAUGUGAUGCCUGUUACUGCAUAUGUUGGUAUAGAAAUGAGAAAAGAAUGUACAAACCGCUUAGGAGAAAUUAAGUUAUUAGACUGCUAUUGGUAUUAAAUGACAAGAGCUAUCCAUUAUCAGAGCUUUAAGUUACCAUUAGCAACAACCUUUAACAUCCUCUAAUUAGUUGUAAAUCAUAGGUGGAUGGAUAUAUCUUAAAGGAACCUGUGGCCUACAAAAGAGCUAUCAUGUGUGCCAAAGGAAUAAUUAAAUAUUUUUCAUAAUUCAACAAAGAUGAAAAGUAAAGUGUAAUUAAGUUUCUUUCCCAGGAGACAGAGAGAAUUAUCAAAUAACCUUGUGACCAGUACCCUUGUUAGGAAACAUUACAUCUAAAUACAGCUAACCAUUAUGCUUGAUAUUGCUCAUCUAGAAAUCCAGUAAAAUAACUUGAUCCUGUUAUCAGAAUGCAAAUCCGUAAUACCACUGAAGCCAAUCAAACACUUUCCUGUUACACAGGAAUUGGGUGUGGGGAAACAACCUUCAUGUCUUUAAAUCCUUUUUCUAGGAGUAGUGGAACAAAUGAUGCCCCAUCUCUGCUUUCAUGAAAAUUUGACUUGCUAUGUAACUAUAGCCUAUUAAGACAAAACCUAUUCAUGCCAGAAAUGAAUAGUUAUAAAUUAUGAACUUUUAAUUAUCACUAGUAAUAGACACCGGAGGACUAGAUAGCAAAGGCUCAGGAAACACUUGUUGGGAAAUCACAAUAUACAUACACAGUAGGUAAUACAAAAGUAGAGGACAGAACAUCAGAUGUGCUUCAAAGAACUUGAAUGUUAGUUGGGGAGACGAGUUAUGUGAUGUUGGAUAAAAUGAUAAUAUAUUUCCUUUAAUUGUUACCUAGGUGGAAAACCAGGGCCUCCAAGUUCAGGGGAAGGAGAAUCACUUUGGACUUUACCAGUUAGGACUCCACUUUCAGAGGAGAUAGAAUUUAGGCCAGUCAGUGAAGAAUGGAAAGAAAGAGACAUAGCAUUUUAGCAAGAGGGAAUUAUACAGGAUAAUUCAAAAGGCAUUUAUAUUUGACUAGGAAGUACACAUUUUACUUGGCUAUAGAAAUGUCUAAGCACUAAAAAUUUCCUACCACUCAGAUGAAGUGAUAUGGAGACCAGCUCAGAUGGGAGAUAGAACCCUCACUUUUCCAAAUGACUCAGUACCUCCUUAUGGCUCACUCUUGCCUUUGAGGCACAGGCAUUUUACUGUUUGCGAACUAAAGCUCUGGAUGGCAAAAAAAAAAAAAAGUUACCUAGCUGCUGAUGUAUGAACAGAACUCAUGCUUGAAUAUAGAGAAAAGUUAGUUAAAUUACAUCAUGAUAUCAGUUAAGGUGUCACAAAAGUAGUUACUGGCCCAGGUUCUAUCCCAUUAUCUUAUUGAGAAGAAAUAAUUCCAUCAUUAGAAGUUUUAAUGGAGUUAAGACCAAAUAGUUUUAAUUUUAAGCUUGUAGGACCUGACAAACACACCAGCACAACUAUUAAUCGUAUCUGGCACAGGGUGGUCACAGCUGAUAUUAGAUCAAUUUUUAGUCUAGGAUACUUUAAACCACACCAGAAACACUAAGAAUCCAGAUCCAGGGAAAUAAAAACCCAAGCACCUCCAUGAUUUUGACAAAGAUAAAAUGUCAACAGUCAAGUAGUUUGAGAUAGAGAGUCCUAUCUGCCAUUCCGAGGAGUCAUCACUUACCUUCUUUGGGCUUCAGUUCCUCAUCUGUAAAAUGGGAAAUGAUUCCCACCUACAUAAUGAGGUUUUACAAAGAUUGAAUGAGAUAAAGGUUAUGAAAGGCAUCUAUAAAGGCAGGCGUGGGGUGAGCCAAGAAUUUGCAUCAGAAGGAGGACAGCAGAACACCAAGCACUUGCCCUGGCUGGUAACCAAAGAUCGAUCGUAUCAUUUUAAAAACGAUGUGCAGGAUUCCUUAGUGUUCUUUGGACAUAUUGCUAGUUGUAAUGUAUUUUUUUUUCCUGGCAUGAAAAAGCAAAAGAAAAUGUUAUAAGUUACAAUCUUAAUAACAUGCAUAGAUGUGUCAGAAUUACAAAUUUCUUUAUUAUGUAUUUUUUCUGUUAGUGUAGAUGUUGACUUGAUACAAUAUAAUACCUAUAUCUUGGGGUGCUUGAGUAGUCAUUGCACUGCUUGAUCCUCACAGCAAUCCUCUGGUCUCAGUUUUCUUUUCUGAUAUGGUGAUGCUAAUUCCUACCUUACUGGGUUAUUGUAAGUAUUAAAUGAGAUUGUUCUGGAAACUGCUUAGCACAGUGAUUGGCAUGUCUAUAUUAGUUUAAAUAUUGAUCAUUUUCCGUUUCCCAGUCACUUUAUAGUCUUUACUUCUGUCUAUCUGUAUGUAUGUAUUUAGUUUUUUAUAAAUGUAAGCAUUCAUAUAUAUAAAACUACAAUUGUGUAUAAAGAUUAUAACUGAAUGCAUUUAUGUAUAACUUACAAUAGUUAAGUAAUAAAUUGUUAUAAAAUACAUUAUAAGCAAUAUGUAACAGAGUACAUACAUACAUCAUAUAUAUAGUUAUGCAUACAUAACUAUAUAAAAAUGCAUGCCUACAAAUGAAACAUUCCAGCAUGAAUUAUAUAUUUACAAACAGUUGCACAAAAGGAGAGUCUAGCUCAUCAUGGGGAAAGAGUGUGGGAACAUUUCAGUCUAUCCUAAGGCAGUGUUGUAUGUUCUACCAUAUUUCAUUUCAUCAUUAUGGCUGUGUCGGUGGUCAUUUGUUAUCCUCCAGUAUAUCCCUCGCUACCCAUCAGUAAUUAGACAUGGUCUUGCUGUCAUCUCCAACUUUAUCUCAUACCGGAUUAGGCUUAAAGGUCAACACAUUCAUUCUGUUACCCUUCUCGGUUCCUUGAAAGAACUUGUGUACCUAUUUUUAAAUAUUCGCUUUAAAUUUACUUUAUCUAUGGAAGGGCAGCUCAGUAUCACUUAAACAUAAUUUUAGAUGACCAGGUACAACUAAGGAAAAUUGCACCUUAUCAUUUACCAGUAUGGCCCUCCUUUCAUUGUAUUUUUAGAAACAAGAACAAGAAAUAGAUCAAGAUAUCCCUCAUGUUUCCAGUGUGUGGUAUGUCAUAAGGGUGAAUCCCAGACAGUGCUAAAAACCCCAGAAAAUUGCAAGCAAGACUCAGUCUGUGAGUUAAGAAGUAGGUCGCAGGGGUGUGGAGCUUAAAAAUGGAAAAUGUAAAAACUAGCUAUUACUCAAAGCAAGAAUAUUUGUAAGGCAGGAGAUUUCUAGUAAUUUUGCCAAAGAGCCUCUUUGAUAAUGGCUUAUUUUAAACAACCUGUCAUGGCCUAGCUAUAGAUCUAUAGCAGGCAUUUUUUAACUUUAGCAUGCCAGCAGUUAAUUAGAGGAGCUAGUUAAAAAUGGAAGUUCCCAGGCUCUACCCCCUUAAACUGCCGUUUUGCACUGAGAACAUAAGAAGUCCAUGGUCCAUGGACUGCCCUUUCAAAACCGCUGCUCUGGAGCCCAGAUCCCCAGAAAUAACUUACAGCUGAUAGAGCUCUAAAACAAUUUUGAAUUCAGUUUCUGAUAUUCAAAGUUAGAUACAUUAUAAAAUUUAUAAAAUCAUUUAUAAAUUUCUGUCAUUUCUAAAAUAUUUUUGUAUCUUUAUCAUCUUCUUUAUCAGAUAUACAAUAUCAGGACAUGUAACUUGUUCAUGUUACAGAUUGCCAUGAAAAUAGUGAGAAUAAGAAAAGAAGCACAAGUAUCUUUUUUCAGGAAUAAAGAAGAAACAACUAUAAACACCAGGGAAAUACAAAAAGUUGUAUAACAAAGUCGUGUAUAAUAAAGAUGCAACUAAC